AUUGAACGCUGGCGGCAGGCCUAACACAUGCAAGUCGAGCGGAGCGGCGCACGGGGGAGUAAUGCCGAGGAAUCUGCCUGGUAGUGGGGGAUACAGUCAGGAAACGGGCGCUAAUACCGCAUACUAUCGGAUUGGCCUGGGUCGGAUUCGCUAGUUGGUGGGGUAAAGGCCUACAAGGGCGACGAUCCGUAACUGGUCUGAGAGGAUGAUCAGUCACACUGGAACUGAGACACGCUCCAGACUCCUACGGGAGGCAGCAGUGGGGAAGAAUGGACAAUGGGCGAAAGCCUGAUCCAGCCAUGCCGCGUGUGUGAAGAAGGUCUUCGGAUUGUAAAGCACUUUCAGUUGGGAGGCGUUACCAACAGAAUAAGCACCGGCUAACUUCGUGCCAGCCGCCGCGGUAAUUC
rnacentral:rRNA from 1 species